rnacentral:lncRNA from 1 species
UGUGAAAUAAGAAACAGGAAGGGACUCAUCGGAGAGCGUUUAGGGUUUUGGCUGUGACGGCUCCACCGGGUUUUACCCGCAAUUUUUUUGCUCACCCGCCGUUCUUUUUACUUUGAUAUGACCAUAGGGAGGCUCGAAAUUAAAUUCCGAGUGUGGAGGAAAAGUUUUAUCUUUUUUUGGUGGUCGGCAGUGGCUCCGAUGCAGCGACAGUCAGGGAUCGACCUCCUUCUCCGACGUGUGGUUCUUCUUCUCUAGCAAUGGCUAGUCGGCUAGGGUUAGGUUCUCCUAUG